GCCUCCCCCUCCCCCAGACAACAUCAGCAGCAGCUGAGCCAAAGGGAGACCAAGGGAACUGCCCCAACAGACAGCCAGUUAGGCUUCUGCUGUGUCUUCCCACUUGAAGAGUGUAGUGGAGGGGUCCCAGGAUCAAAUGAUGCCCCAUGUCCCUCCUCUCCUGAACAAGGAGCCAGACCGGAGGGAGGAGGCAGGGAGCAGUCACCCCUCCCUAGGACCCUGACAGAAAAGAAUCAAGGGGGCAUGAAGCAGGACUGCCUGUAAGGGAGGGGAAGAUCACUAAACUGGUGGUUUUCAUGAGUCAGGCAACACAACCUGCAGGAGUAUCUGUCAUCCUAACAUCAGCUACUCCAGGAGACCUGAGCUCAAAUGCCUACAGGCACCAGAGAGGUCUGGGCCUGGAUUCUGCAUUUCCAACAAGCUCCCCGGUGAUGUCACUGCUGCUGGUCCACCAACUACAUCUUGUGUAGUGAGGAUUUAGUUCAUCCUUCUACCUAAGAAUUCCCUCUGAUUGUACAUGCCUGGUCAAUGAUGUCUCCAGUUCUGCUUGCACACCUCCAGGGACUGGAUGCUCACUACCUAUGGUCGCAGCCUGAGUGGCUGCAGCUUCUGCUAACUUCGGCCAGGCUCUGCAGCAAUGGUGAAGGACACCCAGAGUCAAACAUGCCCAGGCCUGGGAUCUGGAACAUCAGAGUUCCACAGAAGAAACUUCAGUUGGGGACCUAUCAGGAAGGGAGUGGACACUGUUGCCAAGAAGAGUUUCUGUCCAGUUGCUUACUCAGCAGCGCUCAGUUACACAGGAGAUACUACUAGUCCUGGGUGUUCUGGUUAAUAAAAGUUUGGUGCAAUCUGUUUACCUUCCUUUCCCCAAAGUCUUGAAACAACUUUUCUCUGCGCUUGGGCAAGCUAUCUGGUUAUGCCCACAGGAGAAGGAGCCAGGUUCUGACUUGUGAGGGAUGGAGAAGGGAAGGAGGCUUGAGGCUAAACAGAAGCACCUGCCUCCUCAGGCCACAAGACAACCCAUGCUCUCCUGGAUCAGGUCUCUACCUCCUCUGGAGUUGGGGCAUCCAAUCCCAGAUCCUCCUUCCAGGGUCCUCGAGAGGCCGUGGAAAGGGGACAAUCCCCCAUCCCAGCAUCCCCCGAUGGGCUCGGGAUCACUGGGGCUGGAGGUCACAUGCCCAGUGCUCCAUAUCCCAAGGCCAAUCAUCCUGAAGUCCAGCUGUCAGAGCUGGGGGGUGUGGAAACCACCUAGGCCACUCCUCAUUUCGCCUUGGAGGGGAACCCAAGCCCAGAGAGUGCAUGAGACUUUCCCACGGUCACACAGCUGGUUUGCAACCAGCUCCUGUAAAGGCCCAGAAUCCUUUGAGGCAGAGCUGGACAGAAGCCACUGGUAUU
rnacentral:lncRNA from 1 species